GAUGAACGCUGGCGGCGUGCUUAACACAUGCAAGUCGAACGAAGCGCUUCAAUUUCUUCGGAUUGAGAAGUGACUGAGUGGCGGACGGGUGAGUAACGCGUGGGGUAACCUGCCUCAUACAGGGGGGAUAACAGUUAGAAAUGACUGCUAAUACCGCAUAAGCGCACAGUACCGCAUGGUACGGUGUGAAAAACUCCGGUGGUAUGAGAUGGACCCGCGUCUGAUUAGCUAGUUGGUGAGGUAACGGCUCACCAAGGCGACGAUCAGUAGCCGACCUGAGAGGGUGACCGGCCACAUUGGGACUGAGACACGGCCCAAACUCCUACGGGAGGCAGCAGUGGGAUAUGCACAAUGGG
rnacentral:rRNA from 1 species